UGCUGGGGGCCUUGCAUACACCUGUGAAACUGGAGCCACCGCCCCUGUUUAUCACACGAGGAAAUCAAGGUUCCGAGAGGUUACGUGACAAACCCAAGGUCACCAGGCAAGUGACACGGGAACCUAUGAUCAUAUCCCCACGUGCUCCUACCUCCCUCUGACUUUUCCCCCUUAACUGUAAAUAUUCAAGGACCUGGGCCCAAAUCAGAAACCAGAUGUACUUGGAAGAGUGUGCGCUCCAUCAGCGGUAGGCCAGGGAGGACUGGAUUUAAGUCACUUCCCGGGGAGAGUGGGCUGCACAGGUGGAGUGGAGACACAGGUUAGGUGUCUUCCCCAGGCCCCCUUGGAACUACACCCCAGGACACCGGCUUAGCAUCUGAAGGACUCCAGCUGGACGCGUCCACUCCAGGGCAACUCCGGGACCCUCCCCUCUCUCUGUCCCCACCCACACCAAAGGCUUGGUAUCAGAGGGGGUGUUUCCUGGCCAGGCAUUGCUGACUGACUGCUGGUUCUGGAAGGAUCUGCAGAGCACCAGGGCCCAGCACCUGGGGCUGUACCUCCGAGGAUAGCAUCCAGGAGAAUGUUUCUGGAACAUCCAACAUUUAAGUUCUGGAACAGUCUUCAGGCACACGGCUCCCCAGUGAAACACGGCAGCUGAGAUGAGCUGACAAUAUACGGAGCUACAAUCAGGAGCUGUGUUCUAAUUUUCACAUCUCUAUGCCACCAUCCACAUGUGGACAGACGCUGAGAUCUCUCUGGAAAGAUGCCCAGUAACAGGGAAUAGAGGUCUGGGGGCGGGGGGUCCUCUGGAGCUGUACUGCUUGGAUGUGCUGUGCACACACAGUAAGCGCUUCUUCGCCAAAGAGGAAAGUGAUGCCAAUGGAGCCUGUCAGAGCAGCAGCACCAUGCCUGCUGCAGUCUGAGGGGGGACUGAGGAGCCCCUGGGCCCCCACGGAGGCCACAGUCACCAGGUCCCCUUCAGAGAGCAUGCACUUCUCCUGGGUGGCUGGGGAAGGGUCCCUAAGCUGAGAUCCCCACCCAACACCUGCAGGGCAAGGCUGGCUCUGGCUGCUCCUCUCGCGGGCCAGCCUCCUGUGGGGCUCUGGGUCGGGGCUGGGGGCUGCAGCUGCCCCUACACUCCCAGGCUCAGCCCCCAGACUCACACAGCCUGCAGCAGGAGUGCAGAUCCCGCCCAGUUCUUCCUCCCCACGCCCCUACUCCUCCCCCCGGCCAGGCUCCAGGCAGGGUUCACCGCCCCUCAGCCCAACUGCCCGGUCCCUGACCCUUCUCCCCGUUCCUGGCCCACCACACAGGCCUCAGAGGCUGCAAUCUAGACCCUCCCUGCCCCCAAACUGUCUGGCUGUGCCCCCUGGCGCCCCACCCUGCCCUGGAGCUCUAGGAGCCCCUGUUCGGCAGGCGGGGGUCCACAUGGGGUAAGCACCAUGGGGGGGCGUGCUGCCUGCUUCCUUCCCUGCUGUGUCCCCAAAACCCAACACUACAGGUGCUCAGCCAAGACCCACUGGCCGACUCUAUGAAGAAAAGGACACAUCCACCCCCCACACCCUCCUUCCACCUCAACACACUGUCUCGUGCCCUGUCUGUCCGUCCAAAGGAACGACUAUGCUGGGGGCAGCUCGGCCCCAGUGGCCGUGAUGGCUGUGUGGUGCUCAGCGCACACCGGGUGCUGUCCCUGUCCAGCCAGGUCCUGACCCAAUGGUUCUCCACAACCACCCGCCAUCCAGGGGCCCCUGUGAGACAGCCCCUCAGCAGGACAUGCCCUGGAGCACCUUGCCCUUCUCUGAAAUCACACCCAAUUCCGCCCGCCCACCAGCCAGGGACCCGACAGCCAGGAGCUGUCCCGGCCACCACAGGGGUCCCUGUGAGGUGCCAGCAUGGUGCUGGGGACACUGUGGUGUAAUCUGGGCAGGCACGCAGGUGACGGUCUCCCAGCACCAGACGAGGGCCCUCCCGGAGCAGCGGCUGAGUGGCAGCAGCUCCCAGCACCGGGGCCCGAGGGCCACCGGCCAACUGCCCAGCCACCCGGCCACCUCCUCCACGGCCAUCUUCUCUGUGGGGAAUCUGGGCUCCAUGGCAUCCUCCUGCACUCACUGCUGUCUCCCCCAGGACGGGGAGCUGGGGGCGGUGGCUCCGCCCGCCCUGCCCGGACACCCCAGGUGAUGAGCAAGGUCUUGGCACCCCAGGUGCCUCGCCGGCAUUUGUGGAGGUAACAGCUCGGCCCCAGGAAGCCCUCUCAGCCCCUGACUAGAGCCCCUGCCACCUGCUCGCCCUCAGUUGCCUCCACAGCCCCGACCACAGCACAAGCUGACCUUGGGCACUGACCCAGCCCCUGGAUGGAAGCUUCCAGAGGGCAGGCUGGGUCUGCUUUUCCAGACUCCUGCAUCUGCACUGGGGGCCGAGAAAGUGCUCACAGUGUCUGUACUCGGGAGCUGGGGGGAGGCAGGCACGGUGCCUCAGGUCCCUGUCAGGAGUCAGACUAGCAGGUGGCUCUGCUUUCUGUCAUCUUGUUACCUGCUCGUCACCCUGCCCCCGCUGGGCCCUGCGGCCCCUCCAUGUCUUCCUUUGUUGUGUGGCAUUUCUCACAUGCCUGGGCCCCUCCCCUCCCUAAUUGACAACGUUUACUUGCCAAAUUCCAAGUGCCCCUGACA